rnacentral:rRNA from 1 species
AGUGAACGCUGGCGGUAGGCCUAAUACAUGCAAGUCGAACGGCAGCACAGUAAGAGCUUGCUCUUACGGGUGGCGAGUGGCGGACGGGUGAGGAAUACAUCGGAAUCUACUUUUUCGUGGGGGAUAACGUAGGGAAACUUACGCUAAUACCGCAUACGACCUACGGGUGAAAGCAGGGGAUCUUCGGACCUUGCGCGAUUGAAUGAGCCGAUGUCGGAUUAGCUAGUUGGCGGGGUAAAGGCCCACCAAGGCGACGAUCCGUAGCUGGUCUGAGAGGAUGAUCAGCCGCACUGGAACUGAGACACGGUCCAGACUCCUACGGGAGGCAGCAGUGGGGAAUAUUGGACAAUGGGCGCAAGCCUGAUCCAGCCAUACCGCGUGGGUGAAGAAGGCCUUCGGGUUGUAAAGCCCUUUUGUUGGGAAAGAAAAGCAGCAGGUUAAUACCCCGCUGUUCUGACGGUACCCAAAGAAUAAGCACCGGCUAACUUCGUG